UACGAAGGGGGCUAGCGUUGUUCGGAAUUACUGGGCGUAAAGCGCACGUAGGCGGCUUGUUAAGUUAGGGGUGAAAUCCUGGAGCUCAACUCCAGAACUGCCUUUGAUACUGAGGAUCUUGAGUUCGGGAGAGGUGAGUGGAACUGCGAGUGUAGAGGUGAAAUUCGUAGAUAUUCGCAAGAACACCAGUGGCGAAGGCGGCUCACUGGCCCGAUACUGACGCUGAGGCACGAAAGCGUGGGGAGCAAACAGG
rnacentral:rRNA from 1 species